rnacentral:tRNA from 1 species
AGGAAUUUAGGUUAAACCAGACCAAGAGCCUUCAAAGCUCUAAGCAAGUGCAAAUACUUAAUUCCUG